GACGUAGGGCGCGAGCGUUGUCCGGAAUCAUUGGGCGUAAAGCGCGUGUAGGCGGCCCGGUAAGUCCGCUGUGAAAGUCGGGGGCUCAACCCUCGAAUGCCGGUGGAUACUGUCGGGCUAGAGUGCGGGAGAGGCGAGUGGAAUUCCUGGUGUAGCGGUGAAAUGCGCAGAUAUCAGGAGAACACCAAUUGCGAAGGCAGCUCGCUGGAACGUAACUGACGCUGAGACGCGAAAGCGUGGGGAGCAAACAGG
rnacentral:rRNA from 1 species